CCAAAGCAAGAACCCAGCCGGGCUACGGCUAAUUGCUGCCAUGUUUCUGAAUGGUCUGCCUUUGGCUGAGUUGCAUCUUGUUUCUCUCUUUGAAAACUGCCUUCCCCCGUGGCUGGUCAGUUUCCACCAUGCUGUACCUCUGGAUCAUGCUUGAGCUCUGACGUUGUACUGCUCCGUCUCUCUUGUUGGGGGAGCACGAAGGGACCUUCUUCCCUGAACAUCUAUUUCUCUUCCUCAGCCCUGUCUCCUUCAGAUCCCUGCACACAGGUUGUCACUUGUCCAUGAUGAAUGUUUAGUGAAGGGUCUUCUGGAUUCUUGUUCUUCACCCCCUACUGGCGGGGAAUGAGGCCUCUUUCUUCCUUCCUACCUACCUCGAUGCAAAGCAUUCAAUGAACUCCUUCAAAGGAAUCUGAGGAGUCACUUUGUCCUCGUGGGAGCACAUGCCCCCUUCUGGCCUUUGCUCCUUUCGCUGCCUGGCCCAGCUUACCUUGUGUCUUGACAUCAAUCCCUGCAUCUGACACAGCCCCCAUCCGCUGGAAUGUCAGCUUCAUCUGGGCUUUUUCGGUGUGAGGACCAGCCAGCGCUGUCCC